rnacentral:misc_RNA from 1 species
AGAGUGCAGGAGUUCUCUAGAGUUUUGAUCACAUCCUUAUAAUUAUUGAAAUUUUGCAUGUUAAUAGAUUUAAAUUAAAAUUUAGAUGUUAUAAUGUUUAAUAGAUACAGUUUUUCCUCAUUCGUUGAUUUACCUAUUACCGAGAUGUACAACUGGAAUAUUCUCGGAUUGAUUACCUAUACGGUAUAGUCUUUUUUUGUUUAAUGUUGCUACAACUAUGAUAUCCAUAUACAUACAUGUAAGGUUAUUGGUACAUGUUAUUGUAUAUGAAUCUUAUUUUAACUUUUGAAUUUGUUGUUUUAUUGGUAUUUUUCAUGUUUUCAGGUAUGGUAUAAUAUGAAUUCAUAUUUUGCUUGAAAACAAUGGUGAUUUUAUUUUUGUCUUUAUAAUUUUCUCUCUUUUUAAAACUGCUAUCAUUUAAAAAUUAAAUUUAUGAGAACAUUUUAAUACCAUUUUUGACUGAAUGAUCAAACUUACAGUAUUUACAUUAUUCAGUUGUUGGUCACAUUAAUUCAAUAAAGCUCAGUAAGGAU